rnacentral:rRNA from 1 species
AGAGUUUGAUCCUGGCUCAGGAUGAACGCUGGCGGCGUGCUUAACACAUGCAAGUCGAACGAACCUUCGGGUUAGUGGCGGACGGGUGAGUAACGCGUGAGAAUCUGCCCUCAGGAGGGGGAUAACAGUUGGAAACGACUGCUAAUACCCCAUAUGCCGAGAGGUAAAAUGAAUUUUGCCUGGGGAUGAGCUCGCGUCUGAUUAGCUUGUUGGUGGGGUAAAGGCCUACCAAGGCUUCGAUCAGUAGCUGGUCUGAGAGGACGAUCAGCCACACUGGGACUGAGACACGGCCCAGACUCCUACGGGAGGCAGCAGUGGGGAAUUUUCCGCAAUGGGCGCAAGCCUGACGGAGCAACGCCGCGUGAGGGAUGGAGGCCUUUGGGCUGUAAACCUCUUUUCUCAAGGAAGAAGAUCUGACGGUACUUGAGGAAUAAGCCACGGCUAAUUCCGUGCCAGCAGCCGCGGUAAUACGGGAGUGGCAAGCGUUAUCCGGAAUUAUUGGGCGUAAAGCGUCCGCAGGCGGCCGUUUAAGUCUGUUGUUAAAUCGUGGAGCUCAACUCCAUCACGGCAAUGGAAACUGUUCGGCUUGAGUAUGGUAGGGGCAGAGGGAAUUUCCGGUGUAGCGGUG